GGCCCCUUGGCGAAAUCGGUAUACGCAGGGGAUUUAAAAUCCCUAGCCCGGAAGGGCGUGUCGGUUCGAGUCCGACAGGGGCUA
rnacentral:tRNA from 1 species